AAGGUAGGGUAAUCACUUGUUUUUUAAUUGUAGACCUGUUUGAAAGGCAAAACGAGGGCCUAUUUGUUUUUUGUAGUAAAUCAAUUAAAAUGAUUUCCCAGUCCAAAAGCUGGGAUGCCAACAUAAGACCAGAAGACCCUGUGAAGCUUAAAAUAAAAUAUUAAAUCCUAUAAUAGCUCCUUUCGGGUGGGGGGACCCUGGAAAAAAAAAGAACUUCCAAACAUACUGACCUUACAGUCACCUACCCUAGGCCAACAAGCCUAACAACGACCCAGCACAGCUGAUAAUUGAACCAAGUUACUCCAGGGAUAACAGCGCUAUUUUUUUCAAGAGCCCAUAUCAAAAAGAAGGUUUACGACCUCGAUGUUGGAUCAGGACAUCCUAAUGGUGCAGCCGCUAUUAAGGGUCGUU
rnacentral:rRNA from 1 species